AACCCCAUUUUUUUUGCUUUCUAUUUUUUUUUUUGCGUUUUAUUUUAUUUGGCUUUACACAUAUGAAUUCAUGGUGUUUAUGUAUGGUUAUAGGUUACGGAUGCAACGUCGUUAAACAAUUCCAGGACAAUUAAAUUGUUGAUUCAAUCGAACAUAUGGUAUGAACAUGUUCGUUUCACGGGGUGUUUCGGUGUCUUGCCUUGAAUCAAGGCGUGUAAAAACGUUAUGUGUGAUCCUUAUACACCAGCUGGUGUUCCAAUUCCAACCAACAAGAGGCACAACGCUGCUAAAAUUUUCAGACACCCAUCGUUGCCUCCGAGGAGCCU